AAUGCUGAAUUACGUUCUGCCUGUCAGUGAAUGGCUCGGUUCGAGUGCCGAUGAAGGGCGUGCCAAGCUGCGAUAAGCUCCGGGAAGACGCAAGGAUUCUAUGAUCCGGAGAUACCCUAAUGGGACAUCCUGUAGUCUUUUGACUACGAUUGGUAACAAUCGGUAACCCCCCGAAUUGAAACAUCUCAGUAGGGGGAGGAAGAGAAAUCAAACGAGAUGUCGUAAGUAAAGGCGAUCGAAAGCGACAGAGUUCAAACUGAAUCCCGCAAGGGAGAUGUGGUGUUAUAGGCCCACUGUUCGCACAUGAUUUGAAAUGGAAUUUGUUCUGGAACGUCAAACCAGAGAGGGUGACAGUCCCGUACAUGUAAGAAUCCUGUGUAUAUGUGGAGUCCUGAGUAGCGCGGGUUGGCAUUCUCGCGUGAAUUUGGGGGUCAUCAACCUCCAAAACUAAAUACUCCUCGAAACCGAUAGCGCAUUAGUAGCGUGAGCGAAAGCUGAAAAGUAACCCUGGAAAGGUGGUGAAUAAGUGCCUGAAACUGGCAGGCGAUGGUGUGUUAUGGCGUGAAAGGAUCUUUGCAUCGAAAGAAUCAGUCGCGAGGCUGUAGUAUGGGAUGCAUUGCCAGCGUCAUAACUUACGUUUUGAAGAACGGGCCAGAGAGUUUACUCUUUCGGCGAGGUUAACCUGUUAUGGGAAGCCGAAGCGAAAGCGACAAGUCCGUAAGUUUUCUAUGGGACGACGUAUUAAAAGUGCGUGGAGUCGGAAGGGUAAGACCCGAAGCCCAGUGAUCUAUGCGUGGGCAGGCUGAAGGGUGACGAAAGUUGCGUGGAGGGCCGAAACGGUUUUGAUAUGCAAAUCAUUCGUAUGACCUGCGUAUAGGGGUGAAAGGCCAAUCGAACUGGGCAUCCGCUGGUUCCUCUCGAAACAUGCCGUAGCAUGACCUGAGUGGAGAUAGAUAGUGAGGUAGAGCACUGAUUGUGGGAGUUGGGGGAGAAAUCCCUCACCCUGCUGUCAAACUCCAAAUUCCCUAUCGUCGUAGAAGCUCGGAAGUCCGCACUGCGGGGUAAGCUUGUAGUGCGUAAGGGAGACAACCCAGCCCGUGGUUAAUGUCCCUCAGUGUAGGUUAAGUGUAAACACUAAAUGAGGUCCUAGGUCAAAGACAACUGGAAGGUGAGCUUAGAAGCAGCUAUCCUUUAAAAAGUGCGUAACAGCUUACCAGUCGAGAUUUAGGGCGCAGAAAAUGGACGGGGCUGAAACCUACCACAGAUACCACGGACCAUACUAUGUAUGAUGGCGUAGAGAGGCGUUCUGCAUGGGCGGAAGCAGGGAUGUAAGUUCCUGUGGACCGUGUAGAAAUGAGAAUUCUGGCAUUAGUAGAAGCAUUAGUUAGGUGAGAAUCCUAACCGCCGCAGGGGCUAGGUUUCCUCGACAAUGUUCGUCAGUCGAGGGUUAGUCGGUCCUAAGUUAUACCGUAACUCGAGUAUAGCGAAAGGGAAACAGGUUAAUAUUCCUGUACCAUCUGUCAAUAAUCCUGACGCUUCGGGAUAUGCCUUGCAGGGUAGUCGCCCUGUUUAAGCGUAUAAGCCUUUGGAGAACCGUAAUGGUGAGAAUUAGGUGAAAUCGUGAUGAGUAAUUAAGGCGCAUUCCUGGAGCCCGUGAAAAGGGGACAAGAUGACCGUACCGAGAUCUGACACAGGUGCCCCUAGCUGAGUAGGCUAAGGCGUGUCGGUUUAAUUGUGUUUAGGGAACUCGGCAAAAUAGCCCCGUAACUUUGGAAUAAGGGGUGCCUGCCCAGCGAUUGGGCAGGUCGCAGUGACCAGGGGACUCCGACUGUCUAAUAACAACAUAGCAGACUGCAACUCGGAAACGACUAGUAUAGUCUGUGAUUCCUGCCCAGUGCAGGUAUCUGAACACCGGGUACAACCGGACGAAGGACCUGUAAACGGCGGGGGUAACUAUGACCCUCUUAAGGUAGCGUAGUACCUUGUCGCUUAAUUGGCGACUUGCAUGAAUGGAUUAACGAGAGUCCUACUGUCCCAAACACAAGUCCGUUGAACAUUUUAUCCUAGUGCAGAGGCUAGGGACUCCAUAUGGGAAGUGAAGACCCCGUGGAGCUUUACUGCAGCCUGUCGUUGUGUUACGGUAUUCCUUGCGCAGAGUAGAUGGGAGAUGUCGAUCCGUUCCUCGUGGGGAACGGGGAGUCGCAAUCUGAGACACCAUCCUAGGUUUAUUGUAACACUAACUCGCUUAGAGGACACCGGUAGGUAGGCAGUUUGGGUGGGGCGCCACACCCUCGAAAAGGUAUCAAGGGUGCCCCAAGGUCAACUCAUGUGAGUCAGAAACUCACAGGAGAGUGUCAAGAGCAAAAGUUGGCCUGACGCUGACACGAACAGUAAGUGUCUGCGAGAGGAAACUCGGGUCUAACGAACCAAUGAGCGCUUUUGAUGAGUGCCAUUGACGACAGAAAAGCUACCCCGGGGAUAACAGAGUCGUCGCCGGCAAGAGCACAUAUCGACCCGGCGGCUUGCUACCUCGAUGUCGGUUCUUUCCAUCCUGGCUGUGCAGCAGCAGCCAAGGGUGAGGUUGUUCGCCUAUUAAAGGGGAUCGUGAGCUGGGUUUAGACCGUCGUGAGACAGGUCGGUUACUAUCUAUAUGGAGUGUUGGGAGUCUGAAGGUAAGACGGAAAUAGUACGAGAGGAACUUUCCGUCGGCGCCACUGGUAGACCGGUUGUCCGACAGGGCAAUGCCGGGUGGCUACGCGCUACGGGAUAAAAGACUGAAAGCAUCUAAGCUUGAAGCCUGACCUGAAAAGAGACUCCGUUAUAGGGCACGAGUAAAAGACUCGUUUGAUAGACUUGGGAUGUACGCACGAAGGCAACGACGUGUUCAGUCCACAAGCACUAACGCCCGAUAAUUCAGCAAU
rfam:Methanoplanus petrolearius DSM 11571, complete genome.